GAUGAACGCUGGCGGCGUGCCUAAUACAUGCAAGUCGAGCGAACAGACGCGGAGCUUGCUCCUCUGACGUUAGCGGCGGACGUGUGAGUAACACGUGGAUAACCUACCUAUAAGACUGGGAUAACUUCGGGAAACCGGAGCUAAUACCGGAUAAUAUAUUGAACCGCAUGGUUCAAUAGUGAAAGACGGUUUUGCUGUAACUUCUAGAUGGAUCCGCGCUGGAUUAGCUAGUUGGUAAGGUAACGGCUUACCAAGGCAACGAUGCGUAGCCGACCUGAGAGGGUGAUCGGCCACACUGGAACUGAAACACGGUCCAGACUCCUACGGGAGGCAGCAGUAGGGAAUCUUCCGCAAUGGGCGAAAGCCUGACGGAGCGACGCCGCGUGAGUGAUGAAAGUCUUCGGAUCGUAAAACUCUGUUAUUAGGGAAGAACAAAUGUGUAAGUAACUAUGCACGUCUUGACGGUACCUAAUCAGAAAGCCACGGCUAACUACGUG
rnacentral:rRNA from 1 species